UACGGGGGGAGCAAGCGUUGUUCGGAUUUACUGGGCGUAAAGGGCGCGUAGGCGGCGCGGUAAGUCGGGUGUGAAAUUUCGAGGCUUAACUUCGAAACUGCAUUCGAUACUGCCGUGCUUGAGGACUGGAGAGGAGACUGGAAUUUACGGUGUAGCGGUGAAAUGCGUAGAUAUCGUAAGGAAGACCAGUGGCGAAGGCGGGUCUCUGGACAGUUCCUGACGCUGAGGCACGAAGGCCAGGGGAGCAAACGGG
rnacentral:rRNA from 1 species